AGUAGUUUGAUCAUGGCUCGAGGAUGAACGCUAGCUACAGGCUUAACACAUGCAAGUCGGAGGGGCAGCAUAGAAAGUAGCUUGCUUACUUUUGAUGGCGACCGGCGCACGGGUGCGUAACGCGUAUCCAAUCUACCCAUGGCUCAGGGAUAGCCUUUCGAAAGAAAGAUUAAUACCUGAUGGUUCGUCUUUUCCGCAUGGUUUGGCGAAUAAAGAUUUAUCGGCGAUGGAGUGGGGAUGCGUCUGAUUAGGUUGUCGGCGGGGUAACGGCCCACCGAGCCCGCGAUCAGUAGGGGUUCUGAGAGGAAGGUCCCCCACAUUGGAACUGAGACACGGUCCAAACUCC
rnacentral:rRNA from 1 species